GAAAAUUAAAAAAUGAAUGUUAUGAAUCCUUUGGUUUCUAGUACAACAAUGUUGUUCUUUAAAAAGUGUUUCUCAAAAAUAUUUCUUAUACAUCUUGCAUCACACAAGUAUUCAUACAGAAUAGUCAUAUAAUGUUUUAUACUGUAUAAGGUCAACUUUACUGUUUAAACUCUUAAGUAAAUUCCUUCUGUGAAGAUACAUCUUUCAUUUUUUUCUCGUUUCAACCUUUAUUCAGACAUUAUGUAGCAUGUUAUUAAUAAAGUGACCGAUAAAGACAAAAGAGUAAUAAGUUGUCUAACAGAUAACAUUUUAUACAUUAUUCCUUAUUCAAUACAUUCUUUUUAGGCCACACCAAUUUGAUUCCUUGUUCGACGGACCCGCCCGCACCUAUUUUUUUCAAAACAGAAUUUUUUUAUUUUUUUAUAUUCC
rnacentral:lncRNA from 1 species